UUUUGACACAUCAGCAAAAGCAAAUAUUCUCCCAGUUCUUUUAGCUGAAAGGAAUUUUAUGGUGGCUUUUAAGCUCACACUGGGAAAGUGGUCAUCAGAGUUUUCCUCCCAAACUACAUGGCUUAUAUUCUAAAGUUGUCAGGGGCCCCAAAUGUCAGCUUCUCUUGUGGCUUUGUAUCAGUAAUUAAAAGCUAAAAAUCGUCAAAGAACCUCUGAGUUGAAACUAUGAAGGAGGAGUCAACAAGGAAUAGGGUAGAAUGGAGAUGCUGACUGUGGUAGGGACCCCACAAGGGAAUCCCAUCUCCUUCCUGCUCUCUUUGUGCUUGGCAUGGCUUCUGCUCCAGGGUCAGGGACUGGAGCUGGUCCUAGUGGAUGUGACCAUGUUGCUGAGGCAGAGUGUAGGUUUUGGUACCUUGUCUGGCUGUUGGUAGCA
rnacentral:lncRNA from 1 species